CUACGGGUGGCUGCAGUGAGGAAUCUUGCGCAAUGGGGGAAACCCUGACGCUGCGACGCCGCGUGGGUGAUGAAGGCCUUCGGGUCGUAAAGCCCUGUCGAGAGGGAAGAAUUGCAUUUAGGUUAAUAGCCUAAUUGUUUGACGGUACCUCCAAAGGAAGCACCGGCUAACUCCGUGCCAGCAGCCGCGGUAAUACGGAGGGUGCAAGCGUUGUUCGGAAUCACUGGGCGUAAAGGGCGUGUAGGCGGCUGAGUAAGUCAGGUGUGAAAUCCCUCGGCUCAACCGAGGAAGUGCAUUUGAUACUGCUCAUCUUGAGUACUGGAGAGGGAGAUGGAAUUCCCGGUGUAGAGGUGAAAUUCGUAGAUAUCGGGAGGAACACCAGUGGCGAAGGCGAUCUCCUGGACAAAUACUGACGCUAAGGCGCGAAAGCGUGGGGAGCAAACAGGAUUAGAUACCCGAGUAGUC
rnacentral:rRNA from 1 species